rnacentral:lncRNA from 1 species
GACAAACAGAGCACAGCUUUAGCCUGGGAGCGAGCGUGGCUCGCAGUGCCCAUUGUUGCUCUAUCCAGAGAAUGAUUCACCCUCCCCAGGGCUGUGCCUUGCCUCCGCACGUUUCGCAAGGCUCUGCCUUUAUAACAGCGUGGUGCUGCACGCAGCGACUCCUGGCAGAUUGCUGGGCUGCCUGCAGAGCGGGGAGGCAGCAGCUAAUCCUCCUAAGGAUGAUUUUCCUCUUGCAGUAUUUCUUCCUGCUGGCCACAGACCUAGUGCUGGCCAUGACCCUUUCCUGCCUCUUUUAUGCCUUCGCAUGCGUGUCCAUCGCGCUGCUGACCUGCUGCGUUAUCGUCGUCUCCUUCGGCACCGCGGAGAGGAGCGCCCACGUGAAAGGGAGAGCAAUUGUAAUUCUUGUGUCCAACAGCUCCAUUGGGAGGAUGUUUGCGAGGAACCUGGACAGAGCAGGAUUCGGGGUGUCUGCUGCACACUGGUCUGCUCCAGAGGAGAGGACAGUGACAGAAGAGUGCUCGUUGAACAAGGAGGUAGCCCAGCUGCACCUGACUGAAGAUGAGUAUCAGAAGACAGUGAAAACCUUCAUAGAAAGCCACUUAUCCCUGAAAGCCCUCUGCAUCUCAGUCCUCUGUCACCCACUGACCUGUGCCCUGACGCUCCUGAAGAGGGGCCCACAGCUGCUGGUGCCUCUGCUCAAGUCCAAAAACUGACAGCCAGCAAGGAAACCCACGGAGCACUACACACUGCCACUGUCACACCACAUGGAAAAAGGAGCAGAGCUGGGAUCAGAAGUGACAAACUCCUUGCAGCACGGGAUUGUGAGCAGUGACUUCAAUCGCAAGCCAACAAAAAACCGUGGAUGAAGACAGAAAACACCUUCAGAACCAUGACCCAGGUCAUGGUUCUCCCAACUCCCUUGCAAGUCUAAUCUGUAAGGAAGAGAACCCCAAGACGCUGAAAUUUUGGGUUGUUCUUUACAAUGCCAUACUGUGCACACAGAGGAAAAAUCAUCUGAGGUGCAAGGAAAUAAAGGAAGAAUUCUGCUGGGAAGCA